rnacentral:rRNA from 1 species
GACGAACGCUGGCGGCGCGCCUAACACAUGCAAGUCGAACGAGCGAGCGAGAGCUUUCUUUCUCGAGCGAGUGCCGCACGUGUGAGUAACGCGUGAGGAACCUGCCUCAAAGAGGCGGACAACAGUUGGAAACGACUGCUCAUACCGCAUAAGCCCACGGCUCGGCAUCGAGCCGGGGGAAAAGGAGCAAUCCGCGUUGAGAUGGCCGCGCGUCCGAUUAGCUAGUUGGUGGGGUAACGGCCCACCAAGGCGACGAUCGGUAGCCGGACUGAGAGGUUGAACGGCCACAUUGGGACUGGGACACGGCCCAGACUCCUACGGGAGGCAGCAGUGGGGAAUAUUGCAAAAUGGGGGAAACCCUGAUGCAGCGAGGCCGGGUGGAGGAAGAAGGUCUUAGGAGUGUAAACUCCUGUUGUUGGGGAAGAUAAUGACGGUACCCAACAAGGAAGUGACGGCUAACUACGUG